AUUGAACGCUGGCGGCAGGCCUAACACAAGCAAGUCGAACGAGUGGCGGGCGGGUGAGUAAUGUCUGUGACACUGCCUGCUGGAGGGGGAUAACUACUGGAAACGGUUGCUAAUACCGCAUACCAUCAGAUGUGCGCAGAUGGGAUUAGCUUGUUGGUGGGGGAACGGUUCACCAAGGCGACGAUCCCUAGCUGGUCUGAGAGGAUGACCAGCCACACGGGAACUGAGGCGCGGGCGAGACUCCUACGAGAGGCAGCAGUGGGGAAUAUGGCACAAUGGGCGCAAGCCGGAUGCAGCCAUGCCGCGGGUAUGAAGAAGGCCUUCAAGUUGUACAGUUCUUUAAGCGGUGAGGCGUUACCCGCAGAAGAAGCACCGGCUAACUCCGUGCCAGCAGCCGCGGUAAUAC
rnacentral:rRNA from 1 species